rnacentral:rRNA from 1 species
UAGGGAAUCUUCCACAAUGGACGCAAGUCUGAUGGAGCAACGCCGCGUGAGUGAAGAAGGUUUUCGGACCGUAAAGCUCUGUUGUUGGUGAAGAAGGAUAGAGGUAGUAACUGGCCUUUAUUUGACGGUAAUCAACCAGAAAGUCACGGCUAACUACGUGCCAGCAGCCGCGGUAAUACGUAGGUGGCAAGCGUUGUCCGGAUUUAUUGGGCGUAAAGCGAGCGCAGGCGGAAGAAUAAGUCUGAUGUGAAAGCCCUCGGCUUAACCGAGGAAUUGCAUCGGAAACUGUUUUUCUUGAGUGCAGAAGAGGAGAGUAGAACUCCAUGUGUAGCGGUGGAAUGCGUAGAUAUAUGGAAGAAUACCAGUGGCGAAGGCGGCUCUCUGGUCUGCAACUGACGCUGAGGCUCGAAAGCAUGGGUAGCGAACAGGAUUAGAUACCCUGGUAGUCCAUGCCGUAAACGAUGAGUGCUAAGUGUUGGGAGGCUUCCGCCUCUCAGUGCUGCAGCUAACGCAUUAAGCACUCCGCCUGGGGGAGUACGACCGCAAG